CCGGCGCACGGGUGAGUAACACGUAUGGAACCUGCCCUAUGCAGGGGGAUAAGCGGAAGAAAUUCCGUCUAAUACCGCAUAACACCUUUAGGAGACAUCUUCUUGGGGUCAAAGGAGGCGACUCCGGCAUAGGAUGGCCAUGCGUCGCAUUAGCUAGUCGGCGGGGUAACGGCCCACCGAGGCGACGAUGCGUAGGGGUUCUGAGAGGAAGGUCCCCCACACUGGUACUGAGACACAGACCAGACUCCUACGGAAGGCAGCAG
rnacentral:rRNA from 1 species